rnacentral:snRNA from 1 species
GGAUGUGAGGGCGAUCUGGCUGAGACGUCUGUUACCCCACUGAUCGUUGUCAUCAAGACAGGGUUGAUUCAGCUGACCUGGCUGGCUAGGCGUUUGUCCCCUUCUUGUCUCACCGCUCCAUAUGCGUCCCUCCCGAAGCUGUGCGCUGGGUGGAAGAAGACUUCCAUCCCCUACAGAAGAAGUCCAGCCUUCGAUCACAGAUAUAGGAGUAGUUGUGCUCCCCUGCUAGACUCUCCACACAAGCUCUCAAGAGUAGUUUAGAGCCACGGGCGACUAGGAGUGAGGACGUGGUUGCCACUUACU